rnacentral:sRNA from 1 species
CUAAUGCCAGGAGCACCCACCUCAAGCUAGAGAUAUGGGUCUUACGUACCUGUAGGGAAACAGACACAUACUUUAGGUUUAGCUGUCUAUUUAUUAGGCCAGAAACUUCUUGAAGGCAAGGACUGUACUCCGUACAUCUUUUAAUCUUAAAUGCUCGUAAUGAUUGAGAAGCUGAUCUUCAGUUAAGCCAAUAAUAGGGAAAACUCAGAUAACCAGGCCCUGCUUUUCUCCCCCAGCUUUAAGAUUGGUUAUUUUUAUACUGCAAGGUUCAUGAGAAUAGAGACUUUGUCCCACUAAUUUUUGCAUCCUGGGUGCCUCUCACAGUGGGUUCUCUUAAUACAGGAUUCUUCAACAUAAAUGUUUUACCCAACUUCAGAGACAACUCAGAACAUAAAUUCUUUAUUACCUGACUUCUGGCUCAUGUACAUACCUCUUUUAUUAACUAGCAUGUAGCUGGACUGAGUCAAUAUACACUGAGUUAAAGUCUCAUUGCUACACCUCUCUGUUCCCAGGGUCUCUAUUCCAAUGUGGUCUGUCCAGGUACAGCGUUGACCAAUUUGACAUAUGGAAUUCUGCCUCGCUUUAUAUGGACACUGUUGAUGCCAGCAAUAUUGCUACUUCGCUUUUUUGCAAAUGCAUUCACUUUGACACCAUACAAUGGAACAGAAGC